AUUGAACGCUGGCGGCAUGCUUUACACAUGCAAGUCGAACGGCAGCGCGGGCUUCGGCCUGGCGGCGAGUGGCGAACGGGUGAGUAAUGCAUCGGAACGUGCCCAGUAGUGGGGGAUAGCCCGGCGAAAGCCGGAUUAAUACCGCAUACGACCUGAGGGUGAAAGCGGGGGACCGAAUGGCCUCGCGCUAUUGGAGCGGCCGAUGUCGGAUUAGCUAGUUGGUGGGGUAAAGGCUUACCAAGGCGACGAUCCGUAGCUGGUCUGAGAGGACGACCAGCCACACUGGGACUGAGACACGGCCCAGACUCCUACGGGAGGCAGCAGUGGGGAAUUUUGGACAAUGGGGGCAACCCUGAUCCAGCCAUGCCGCGUGCGGGAAGAAGGCCUUCGGGUUGUAAACCGCUUUUGUUCGGGAAGAAAUCCUCUGGGCUAAUACCCCGGGGGGAUGACGGUACCGGAAGAAUAAGCACCGGCUAACUACGUG
rnacentral:rRNA from 1 species